UUCAAAAAGUUGAAUCCAGACUGCUCUGGACUUUUCUCUACCUCAUCCCAUUUCCAAACUGAAGAAUCUCCUAAUGAUCACAGUUCUUAUUACACUGAAAGCAACAACA